CACGGGUGAGUAACACGUAUCCAACCUGCCGUCUACUCUUGGACAGCCUUCUGAAAGGAAGAUUAAUACAAGAUGGCAUCAUGAGUCCGCAUGUUCACAUGAUUAAAGGUAUUCCGGUAGACGAUGGGGAUGCGUUCCAUUAGAUAGUAGGCGGGGUAACGGCCCACCUAGUCUUCGAUGGAUAGGGGUUCUGAGAGGAAGGUCCCCCACAUUGGAACUGAGACACGGUCCAA
rnacentral:rRNA from 1 species